rnacentral:lncRNA from 1 species
GGGGGACGGAGAGACACAGACCGAGAGGCAGGAGGAAUGACAGAGACAGAAACCCGAAACAGAGAUCUGUGCUAUCUUGGCUGGAAAAUAGAAGCAGAAAGAGACAGAGGCAGUAAGAAAUGGCUUCGUGUGCAGUGUGGGAGAGGCGGAGGCCAGGGUGGUUGGGGAGGAACUGGGGCCCCGCGGGGCUCCUUGGCGCUCUGUGGUGCAGAUGGGCGUGGCUGUGCAGGGUGAGACCAGGGGUGGUGGUCCCAGAGCUGGAGGCCCGGAGGUGGCAAAAGGUCGACCUGUGGACCAAGAUGGAGGAGCUGGAGGUCCUGCGGUGGGUGCAGAGCGAGUUUCGGCGCGAAUAAAAGGAUUUGAGGGUUGUGCUCUGGAUACCCAAGUUGAAAGCAUAAUGUCAUGCAUCGCCAAAGGACACCCAGGAGAAGUUUCCAGGAUACAUUUUUCUCUUCCCUCCUUUCUUCUCCCCCUACCCCAUUUGAAUCCGAUUCCAAAUCUGAGACCGAGAGCAGCUCCUCUCUCUCUGGAAACUAAAGGAAAAGAUCUCCUUUCAGAUGAACUAUCUGCCCCGAAAGCGAAGCUCUUGGGAUCUAGAAUGUACGGCUUCCUGAAGGCAGGGGUCCCGACAACCCCAGCCUGGCGCCCAGCAAGCCUGACAGCCCAGAAACGAAGUAUUGACCGGAUGAAGGAGCUUCCAGACUUGGACCCCAGACCGCCCGGGGAGGGGAUGGGGGCGGUGGAAGAAAGAAGAGCACCUCGGUCACCCUUGUGAGUUAGGUUCUUUUUGGUUCUGAGGCAGGAAAGCACUCUUGGAGACCCCAGGAAAAGGAGGCUGUGCAUUGGAGGAUGAGGAGAAACCUCGCGUCGCUGCUCCUGGAGAGUCACCGCGCAGAAAACCUGUGCGGGUUAACGCGCCCCCCCCCCAGGGUGUCGCCCCGAGCGAUCUGCAGCUUCGGUCGUUCUCCCAGUUCUGCGUGCAGAGCCCAAGGUUGAUGCUAGGUUCUGACUGUCGCGGGAAAGCUUGGGUUUCCACCUUCCUGGCGGAUCACACCGGUGAAAUUACUGGACGCCAGGAUGUUGGUUUAUCUCUAUCGUUAGUUCGUGGCGAUUUCGAGGUCCGCAAAGACCACCAAGGAGCCGAUUCCGAUGUAAACACACCAGCGUCGUUUAUUCAAGCUGGAGCAGGGACUCCCAACCGUCACUGCCGCAGCGGGUCAAGAUUGAGAGCCCCGACUCCAAAUCAGCAGGGGUUUUUAUAGUGGUCACAGCAAGGUUCUAGAUUGGCAAUUAAACCUGAUUGAUUGUGCCUUGCGCACCCAAGCUGCAAACGGUUGCUAACUCCUGAUUAGCUGUUGCUAGGGGACGGCGGAACACUAUCACAGGCAGGUGGUCAAAAUACAUCUUGUGGUUUUUCUUAGAACUGAAAUUUAUGCCACCAAAUUUUAGAAUGGAGUCACUUAGGUCUCACACUUUAAAGCAUAAUUCUAGACUCUGUCCAUAGGUGUGGGUACAGUGAAAGAGCACACAUUACAUUGAGCUUAAUACUGAAAUGGGACUAAGGGGCCACUCAGAGAGAAUCCGGAAUCUCUCAAAAUAAGCACAAGAGUGGCACAGGGAGGAUCUCAAAAGAAGAAAGGAAAAUACAUCACAGAUCUAAUACAAAGCAUAUAUUACUGAACGGAUGUCAAGUCACAUAUUAGAGCUUCAAGCAGAUAUGACAGUAACUUAUUUAUUGUUGUACCACAACAUCUUUCUGCAUGAUUUCCUGCACUUCGAUGUCCAGAGGGCCAAAAACUUUGUUUUCCAAACUUUGAUCUAUAAGAGCCUUUUGUGACCUAAGCUCUGCUGGCUGUAAGAGGCUGAGAAGAAGGAAUCUGGAGCAAUGGCACAAAAGGUUUUGUAUAAGCUGGAGUAACUGCCCUCCCUUGGCUUCAGAGGCGUGAAACUGCACGCAGUGGAAAUGGCUGGCCAAAUUGUUUUGUUGUUACUUAGAGCUUUCCCUGUCCUUUCUUCUCUGGCCACCAGGCUCUCAAACGCGAACCUGUAUUUUUCAGAUUUCCUUGCCAGCUGGUUGCAGAUUAGGCUCUAUCAGUUGGAUUUACAGACAGUAUCUGUGAAUAUUAGCACAC